CUUCGUUUUAGUCGCAUUGAAAGGGUUGGAUCCGACGCCGGCUACCAUAGGCUCUCCUUCUCAACUCCUACUUAAGAUGUCCACGACGUGCACUUGUCGCCUAGAUAUCCUAUGUUACCGUGACCACAAUGACCAACCACCGUGAG
rnacentral:ribozyme from 1 species